AUAGAAGUUCACCCUACAAAAGUGGCAUCACCCUCCAAAAUCAUUCCCACCUGUAAGAAACAAUCACACCCAAACAAACCCAGAAAAAUCCCAAAAGCAAAACCCUCUCGUCAAUGAGGAAAUCUGUGAAAGAAGAGACAGAAGUUAAGGCGGAAACUACCUCCGACGAUGGUGGUGAUGGUGGUGGUGCUGCUGAUGCUGGUACUGCUGUCCAACAUUUGGCGCAACCGUCUGUUUCAUGUCCGUACCAAGUAGGAGAGAAAGUCAUAGCUACUCAUGAACAUUUCUUCUACGAAGCCAAAGUUGAAAAAGUGGAGUUACGUGAGGGUUGGAUGUUUUAUAUUCACUACUGGCGUUGGAAGAGAAGUUGGGAUGAAUGGGUGGGAGUUGAUCGCUUGAAGAAAUUUACGAAGGAGAAUCUCCAGCUAGUCACAGAUGUGAAGGCUGGGACUGCUGGGAGUCUAUCACCAACGAAAUUAGGUACUUCCUCAGUUCCUCUUGUGAGUUAUUCUAGAUGGAAAAAGCACAAGAAUGAUUCAGCUUCCAGGUGUCGUAAGAGAAAAAUAGAGCACACAUUAGUCAAGGGAAGACACAAUAAACCAGUAGAGAAGCUCAUCAACAUUUCCGUGCCUCCGACGCUUAAAAAGCAAUUAAUGGAUGAUUUUGAAUUCAUCAAAAGGACGGGCAAGCUUGUCAAGCUUCCACGAAAACCCAAUGCUGAUGAGAUAAUCAAGAAGUAUCAAGAGUACAGAAGAAAGAAGGAUGUUGUAACGUCUACCUCACUUGGAGAAGUUUUGAGUGGAUUAUGUGCUUAUUUUAAUAAAGCUUUGCCGGUGAUGCUUCUUUAUAACAAUGAGCGUCAACAAUAUCAAGAAGCAAUUUAUGAGAAUACGUCCCCAUCAUCAGUUUAUGGCGCUGAGCAUCUUCUUCGUCUGUUUGUCAAGUUGCCUGCAUUAUUAUAUGAUUUGAACAUUGAUGAGGAUUCGUUACAGGAUCUCCAGAAGAAUCUACAUGACUUUCUCAAGUUGUAUCUUUUUCGCAUCAAGCACUGGCAUGCCCUCAUUUCAUGAACGCUCUUUUUAUAUUAGAUGGCACUGUGUGGGGUAGGAGAAACUGAAUUGAACAUGUGUCUUUCCCUUCAAACAGCUCGAAUCGUUCUCACAUGUGCUGAAUACCCGAAUUAAAGAUGAUCAUUAGAAAGUUUUUGCAGAAGAAUCAACAUGUGUUUUUCCAAUCUACAUAUUAUGGUCCUGAACUUUCACGGAGAAGCACUGAUAAAGAGUACAACUGAUAUAUGGUGCAUUUCAACUUUCAAGUAUUAUCUGCGUGUUUUGGAAUGUUUCAUAGUCUAACUACUGAAAUACGUAUGACCUCACUGCCAAGUUAGAAAAACUUUUAUGGUGCUGGUAUAUGUAGUGCAAAGUGAUACUGCUAGAUCCUGAUUGGUGAGUACAUUUCGAGGCUGAAGGGGAUCCCUUGGCUUGUAUGCAUUGUAUGAAGUGAAACAGCUUACAGUCAACAAAAUUGAUAUAACCACAGUCAACAAGAUUGAUAUAACAUUGUACAUAGUGCAUCUUUGGUAAUUUGAUGCUUAGAUGAUCUGUCACAUUGUAUUUUUGUUAUGUCAUUUGAUGUCUUUAUUUAUUUUGCAAUAUUGAAUGAUGGCUUUCAAGAAAUGAUAUAAUUAUGUGUGCUGUGA